UUAUAUAUAUUUGUUACUAUCAUUUAAAUUUAAUUAUAUAUCAUAUCAAAUAGAAAAAAAUAUUUUUUUGGAUUAAUAAAAUUUAUUUAUAUGUUUGCACCAACUUAAUUAUAUAGGUAAUAGUUACUGAAUUUUUAAUUAUUCAAUAGAUAUUUAUUAUUUCAUAAUAGAUUAGAAACAUAUAAUAUAUAAAAUAAUAUAUAUAUAUAACGUUAAUCUCGCGCAAGGCGCGAAUCUUAACCUAGUAUAUAUAUAAUCUAACCUAUACUAAAAGGGUUAUAUGAGCAUUAGGGAGAGUGUCCACGUAGGACAAUUUAAUCAACAAAUCAGGAACGAUGUAAUUGGACACGUCAGACAGACUUCACAGAUAAAAAAAAAAACGUUGAAAUCCUUCACCUCACCUCUACCACUUCGUCUUCUCCAAUCAAGAGCAAAGAAGCCGAGAACCACUUCUACACAAUCAAUACUUUCGAUUCAAUAAUGAUUCCGUUUCAUCUUCCUCUUUUCCUCUUUCUGUAUGUACUGAUCUUCUCUCUUUCGUACAAACCAGAACCCUAGAACCACUCAAAGCUCAAUCCAUGGCGAUGAAACCACAAUUACGGACGCUUCUCUCCAAUUCUCACCUGCUCCCAACAGAUUAAAUGGCUUCUUAGGCUUUCAAAAAUUCCCGAACUCACCGAAGUUCCAAGCUUUAGUAAAGAAGCUGAGGCUUACUUGCAAGCGAUCAUCGAUGGGUUCAACGUGGAAGCCGCGUUGGAAGUCAAGAAGAUCGAGAAAGUAACCAACCACGAUGUCAAGGCAGUGGAGUACUUCUUGAAACAAAAAUGUGAAUCUCAUCCAGAGUUUGCUAAGGUUCUUGAGUUUUCCAUUUCGCUUGCACCUCUGAGGACAUCAACAACCUCUCCCACCGUUUGAUGCUUCGAGAAUCGCUUAGCUCCGUUAUACUCCCGUCCAUGGAUGAGCUCAUCAAGUUUUUAUCAUUUUUUUUUGUUUCUUCGUUGCUUUUUACACAAGUUUUUAUUUUGUUGUUGUUGCUGCAGAGGUGGCUUCUUGGAUGUCACGGUAGAGAGACAAGCAGCGAGGAUAAGGAGUAUGUAUCUGAAAACAAUUCUCAGACAAGACAUUGGAUUUUUCAAUGUGGAAACAAACACAGGAGAGGUUGUUGGUAGAAUGUCUGGAGAUACUGUUCUUAUACAAGACGCCAUGGGUGAGAAGGUUGGGAAGUUUAUUCAGCUGGUAUCUACAUUCGUCGGUGGAUUUGCAUUAGCUUUUGUUAAAGGAUGGCUAAGGUCUUCAUCGAGAAUUAUAUAUUAUGUACAAAAGCAACAAGGUUCACAACGGUUAUACAAAUAGAGGAAAAUGAUCCCGAUGAUGCCUCUUACCACAUUCCAUCCCCUCCGAUACAAACAGUUGAUUGACAUAGCCACUGGUACCAACAACUUACCAGAUGUAGUUGGACAAAUAAGAAUGUUUCAAGGUAACGAUCUCCGAGGGCAACAACGGAGGUCAGAAUUGUUCUACUACUAAACAGGUCAAAAAUGGUCUGCUUGCCCAGUUUAGAGACUUACAUAGCAUGACAAUCAUGAAAUACAAAGUUGUAAUCAUUACAAGCAUCAAUCCCAGAGUAUUUAAAGGAAAACUGAUACUCGCCACAACUCCUGCUACUCGAUUUUAGUGUGACAGCACUAUUAAUCUCAUACAAAGUUAGUAAUCACUCAUGAAGUGGUCAUCUAAACUUUGAGCUGAAGUCUACUACAAUAAUUCUCUCUAUAUUCCUCAUCUCUUAAAAAAAUAUUUCAUUUUCUAUCAAUCAAAGUUUUAUUAAACUUUCAUUUCCAUAAUUUUUUUCAUGUUCUGAAUUUUUUGGGUUAUUACAUAUUAAAAACUACAACAUUAAACCAUUACUUACAUUAACUUUUUUUUUGUAUU